AUUCAGAAUGAGGUAAUUGCCAUAGUUGGAACAAAAAUAGGAGAAAGAGAAACCUAAAAAAAACCUAAAUGAGACCAAAUAUUUCUCGAUUUUACUCCUGAUGUGAACCACAUAGAGAACCAAUACCAGAAAGGAAAGCAGAGUCUCAGCAAUUAAACCCUUGCGUUAUUUCCUACCUGAAGUAUAUGAUGACAACAGGGACAUUAACACUGAACAUCAGGCCCAUUCCUUAGUAACCAAGAUAAAAACAUUCAAAUUCAUUUGUUCCAUUGUCAUUUGG